GUCCAGGUGGAGAAAUUGGUAGACUCGCAUCCUUGAGGGGGAUGUGCCCUCACGGGCGUGCUGGUUCAAGUCCAGUCCUGGACACCA
rnacentral:tRNA from 2 species